rnacentral:misc_RNA from 1 species
GAUGAAGAACGUAGCGAAAUGCGAAAAGUAAUGUGAAUUGCAGAAUUCAGUGAACCAUCGAAUCUUUGAACGCACAUUGCGCCCGCUGGAACUCCGGCGGGCACGCCUGUCCGAGCGUCAUUUCAACCCUCAGGCCCCCCUUCGCGGGCGGGCCUGGUGUUGGGGCCCGGCCGCUACCCUGCGGCCGUCCCCUAAAUUCAGUGGCGGCCUCGCCGUGAUCCCUUGCGUAGUAAUGCACCUCGCACCGGAGAGCGCCGUGGCCACGCCGUAAAACCCCCAAUUUUCAAUGGUUGACCUCGGAUCAGGUGGGAAUACCCGCUGAACUUAAGCAUAUCAAUAAGCGGAGGG